CCUACGGGGUGCAGCAGUGAGGAAUAUUGGGCAAUGGGGGCAACCCUGACCCAGCCAUGCCGCGUGAGUGAAGAAGGUCUUCGGAUUGUAAAGCUCUUUCGGACGUGACGAUGAUGACGGUAGCGUCUAAAGAAGCACCGGCAAACUUCGUGCCAGCAGCCGCGGUAAUACGUAGGUGGCAAGCGUUGUCCGGAUUUACUGGGUGUAAAGGGCGUGUAGCCGGGCUGACAAGUCAGAUGUGAAAUCCGGGGGCUCAACCCCCGAACUGCAUUUGAAACUGUUGGUCUUGAGUAUCGGAGAGGCAGGCGGAAUUCCUAGUGUAGCGGUGAAAUGCGUAGAUAUUAGGAGGAACACCAGUGGCGAAGGCGGCCUGCUGGACGACAACUGACGGUGAGGCGCAAAAGCGUGGGGAGCAAACAGGAUUAGAUACCCUAGUAGUC
rnacentral:rRNA from 1 species